GCUAAUGUGUUAAUUUCUAAUCCUAUUCAGGCUGUGAAUCAGUGCUCACUGAAAAUGGUUAGGCAGGUUCUGAUAAAAAGACUUAGUGUUAAAAUGAUAAGUGCGUAGGGGAACAUUAGUAUGGGAAGGGUGUGAACCAACAUUUUCGGGGUAUGGGCCGAUAGCUUAUUUAGCUGACCUUACUAGGAUGUGGUGUAAUGGGAGCACGAAGGGUUUUGAGUUCUUUGGUAUAGGUUCGAGUCCUAUUGUCCUAGAAAUAAGGGGGCUUGCACCCCUAUUAUUUACCCUAUCAAGAUAAUUCUUUUAUCAGACAUAUUUCUAUAUUUGUGGAGGAAUACAGGAUAAAGCGAUUGGUAGGGAGAUAAAUCAUAGGCAUAUUGCUAAAGUUAUUGGUAAGAAAUUUUUUCAUAAUAGGUGUAUUAGUUGAUCAUAGCGGAAUCGUGGGUAUGAUGCUCGUACUCAUAGAAAAGCUAUGGUGAGAAAGAGUGUUUUUAGUAUAAACGAUAGUGUGUUUAGGUAAGAUAAGUUUGGUAUGAGGGAAGGUCCUAAGAAUAGAAUAGUUGUGAUAGCGUUUAUAGCAAUAAUAUUUGCAUACUCUGCUAAAAAGAAUAUAGCGAAAGGGCCAGCAGCGUAUUCUACAUUAAAGCCAGAUACUAGUUCAGAUUCUCCUUCGGUUAGAUCAAAUGGUGCUCGAUUUGUUUCUGCUAGUGUAGAGAUAUAUCAUAUUAUAGCAAGAGGCCAUGUUGUGAUAAUAAGUCAGAAGUUUUCUUGGGUAAUUGAUAUUGUUUUUAAUGUGAAAGAUCCAUUGAUUAGUAUGAUAGAUAAGAGAAUGAUAGCUAAGGAGACUUCAUAUGAGAUGUGCUUAAACACCCUUUACGCCGUGUUUCUGUUAAUUUGGGUUAAUCGUAUGACCGCGGUGGCUGGCACGAGAUUUACCAACCCUUGUUUAUUAUGAUUUAGUCAAACUUUCGUUUAUAGCUCAAUGUUAGUCGCUGCUGUAACGCGUGGGGGUGUGGUUGAACAAGGUGUCAUGGGCUGCUUGUUUGAGUGUGCCUGAUACCUUUAUACUCUAAUAAAGUUAAAAGGGCAUACUCACUGGGUUGCGGAAACUUGCCUGUGUAGGUCUAAUAAAAAUUAACAGUAAGGCCAGGACCAAGCCUCUGUGCUUGUGGAACUGAUUAAAGUCCAUCUAAGCAUUUUCAGUGCUUUGCUUUGCGUUAAGCUACACAAACAGUAUAUUAUGAAUUUCAAAAUUUAUCAAAAAUUUUGAAAAUUUUAAGUUUGUAUACUAUGUCAGUAUUAAAUUUAUUUUAAUUUUUUUUUGUUUUUUUUUCCAUAAAAAUUUUGAGUUUGGGUUGGAAAGCAGUUGUGUGUUUGAUUAAUAUAAUAUUGGGAUAUUUGUUGUAGUGUUCUAUAGCAGUAGAAGUUUAACAGUAAGUAGCGGUAUAUCGGUCUUAGUUAGGCCUAGUUGUUACUUACAUGUAUUUAAAGCCUAUUUCUCCGAGGUAUUCAAUUACCAUACUAAAGGCCUAUCAUCCGGUUUUGGGGUUUGACGGAAGUGAUAAAAUUUAGUAAGGGGGGUAGGGGUUUAGUGGUAAGAAACUUUUAUAGGUGUUGUUUAUAUUUGUUAUUAUUUUAAACACGCACGCACACACAUACACACAUACACACACAUACAUACACAUACACACAUACACACACAUACACACACAUACACACAUACACACAUACACAUACAUACACACAUACACACAUGCACACAUAUUCCCACUCAUAUAAGGCGCUCUUGGUUAUAUUGUCUAGUCGAAAGUGAAAUAUUGCGGGGGGGGGGGAAUAUAAACUCAUGUCUAGUAAGGUUUAUUAAUAUAAUAAUAUGUCUAUCGAUCAUUGAUUAUAUGUGUAAAUUAAU
rnacentral:lncRNA from 1 species